AUUGAACGCUGGCGGCAGGCCUAACACAUGCAAGUCGAACGAGUAGCAGACGGGUGAGUAAUGUCUGGGAAACUGCCUGAUGGCGGGGGAUCACCACUGGACCCGGUCUCUAAUCCCGCCAUCCAUCGGAUGUACCCAGAUGGGAUUAGCUAGUAUGUGGGGUAAAGGCUCACCUAGGCGACGAUCCCUAGCUGGUCUGAGAGGAUGACCAGCCACACUGGAACUGAGACACGGUCCAGACUCCUACGGGAGGCAGCAGUGGGGAAUAUUGCACAAUGGGCGCAAGCCUGAUGCAGCCAUGCCGCGUGUAUGAAGAAGGCCUUCGGGUUGUAAAGUACUUUCAGCGGGGAGGCGUUACCCGCAGAAGAAGCACCGGCUAACUCCGUGCCAGCCGCCGCGGUAAUAC
rnacentral:rRNA from 1 species